rnacentral:rRNA from 1 species
GUAUUGAAGGUGAUGCCUGCCCGGUGACGAUGUUUAACGGCCGCGGUAUCCUGACCGUGCAAAGGUAGCGCAAUCAAUUGUCCCAUAAAUCGGGACCCGUAUGAAUGGCUAAACGAGGUCUUAACUGUCUCUUACAGGCGAUCGGUGAAAUUGAUCUCCCUGUACAAAAGCAGGGAUAACCACAUAAGACGAGAAGACCCUGUGGAACUUCAAAAACAGCAGCCACCCCAAAUAACAUACUCACCCAACUCGGGCUCACUUCUCCCACGGGUAAUUGGCCUGCAUUUUUUCGGUUGGGGCGACCUUGGAGCAAAACAAAACCUCCAAAUUUUGGACCAUCAAUCCAGACUAAGAGCAACCUCUCAACGUGCUAACAGCAACCAGAUCCAAUAUAAUUGAUCAAUGGACCAAGCUACCCCAGGGAUAACAGCGCAAUCUCCUCCAAGAGUCCAUAUCGACGGGGAGGUUUACGACCUCGAUGUUGGAUCAGGACAUCCUAGUGGUGCAGCCGCUACUAAGGGUUC